rnacentral:rRNA from 1 species
AGCGGCGGACGGGCGAGUAACGCGUGAGAAUCUGGCUUCAGGAGGGGGACAACAGUUGGAAACGACUGCUAAUACCCCAUAUGUCUACGGAUGAAACGGUGAAUUCCGCCUGAAGAUGAGCUCGCGUCGGAUUAGCUAGUUGGUGAGGUAAAGGCUCACCAAGGCGACGAUCCGUAGCUGGUCUGAGAGGAUGAUCAGCCACACUGGGACUGAGACACGGCCCAGACUCCUACGGGAGGCAGCAGUGGGGAAUUUUCCGCAAUGGGCGAAAGCCUGACGGGGCAACGCCGCGUGCGGGAAGACGGCCUGUGGGUUGUAAACCGCUUUUCUCUGGGAAGAAUAAGUUGACGGUACCAGAGGAAUCAGCAUCGGCUAACUCCGUGCCAGCAGCCGCGGUAAUACGGAGGAUGCAAGCGUUAUCCGGAAUUAUUGGGCGUAAAGCGUCCGCAGGCGGCUUAUCAAGUCUGCUGUUAAAGGUCGGGGCUCAACUCCGGUUAGGCAGUGGAAACUGAUAGGCUAGAGUGUGGUAGGGGUAGAGGGAAUUCCCAGUGUAGCGGUGAAAUGCGUAGAUAUUGGGAAGAACACCAGUGGCGAAGGCGCUCUACUGGGCCACAACUGACGCUGAGGGACGAAAGCUAGGGGAGCGAAAGGGAUUAGAUACCCCUGUAGUCCUAGCYGUAAACGAUGGACACUAGGUGUUG